rnacentral:rRNA from 1 species
AUUGAACGCUGGCGGCAUGCUUUACACAUGCAAGUCGAACGGUGACAGGCCGCAAGGUGCUGACGAGUGGCGAACGGGUGAGUAAUGCAUCGGAACGUGCCCAGUCGUGGGGGAUAACUACUCGAAAGAGUAGCUAAUACCGCAUACGAUCUAUGGAUGAAAGCGGGGGACCGUAAGGCCUCGCGCGAUUGGAGCGGCCGAUGUCAGAUUAGGUAGUUGGUGGGGUAAAGGCUCACCAAGCCAACGAUCUGUAGCUGGUCUGAGAGGACGACCAGCCACACUGGGACUGAGACACGGCCCAGACUCCUACGGGAGGCAGCAGUGGGGAAUUUUGGACAAUGGGCGCAAGCCUGAUCCAGCAAUGCCGCGUGCAGGAAGAAGGCCUUCGGGUUGUAAACUGCUUUUGUACGGAACGAAACGGCUCUGGUUAAUACCCGGGGCUAAUGACGGUACCGUAAGAAUAAGCACCGGCUAACUACGUG